rnacentral:rRNA from 1 species
GACGAACGCUGGCGGCGUGCUUAACACAUGCAAGUCGAACGAAGUGGCGAACGGGUGAGUAACGCGUAAUCAACCGGCUCUUCAGAGGGGGACAACAGUAGGAAACGACGGCUAAUACCGCAAACGGAGGGAGGGGAUUGCGGCUGAUUAGGUAGUUGGAGGGGUAACGGCCCACCAAGGCGAGGAUCAGUAGCCGGUCUGGGUGGAUGAACCGCCACAUUUGGACUGGGACACCGCCCAGACCCCUACGGGAGGCAGCAGUGAGGAAUCUUCCGCAAUGGACGAAAGUCUGACGCAGCCACGCCGCGUGAGUGAUGACUGCCUUCGGGUUGUAAAGCUUUGUUAAUCGGGACGCGGUACCGGAAUAGAAAGCCACGGCUAACUACGUGCCAGCAGCCGCGGUAAUAC